GCUGGGUGUGGUGGCGCACACCUGUAAUCCCAGCUACUCGGGGGGCUGAGGCAGGAGAAUCACUUGAACCCAGGAGGCAGAGGUUGCAGUGAGCCAAGAUCGCACCACUGUACUCUAGCCUGGGCAACAGAGUGAGAUUCCGUCUCAA
rfam:Homo sapiens chromosome 3, GRCh38 reference primary assembly.